CUUGAGAGAGUGAACGGCCACAUUUGGACUGAGACACGGCCCAAACUCCUACGGGAGGCAGCAGUGGGGAAUAUUGCACAAUGGGGGAAACCCCUGAUGCAGAGACGCCGCGUGAAGGAAGAAGUAUUUCGGUAUGUAAACUUCUAUCAGUAGGGAAGAUAAUGACGGUACCUGACUAAGUAGCUCCGGCUAAAUACGUGCCAGC
rnacentral:rRNA from 1 species